AACGUAGGAGACAAACGUUAUCCGGAGUUACUGGGCGUAAAGGGCGUGUAGGCGGUUAGUUAAGUCUGGCGUGAAAGCUCUCGGCUAAACCGGGAGAGGUCGUUGGAUACUGGCUGACUAGAGUACAGAAGGGGCAACUGGAAUUCUCGGUGUAGCGGUGAAAUGCGUAGAUAUCGAGAGGAACACCUGCGGCGAAGGCGGGUUGCUGGGCUGAUACUGACGCUGAGGCGCGAAAGCCAGGGGAGCGAACGGG
rnacentral:rRNA from 1 species